rnacentral:rRNA from 1 species
AUCUACGGCCACGCCACACUGACCACGCCCGGUCCCGUCCGAGCGGAAGCUAAGCAGGGUCGGGCCUGGUUAGUACUUGGAUGGGAGACGGCGAUGACGGGCUGCGCGUCUGCC